UAAAAAUUACUCUUUCUAUUCUCUUCCUUAUAUAUAUAUUUGAAUAUCUUUCUAUUUCUCUUUCUUUUCUUUUAAUAGGUUUUAUUAUUCGGUCUUUAUAUUACAACAAAAAACUCUCUGUACAAAUGAAUGUUGCGCACACAUUUUGUAUUAAACGGUUCGUCACCAACAUGAGUUGAAAUGUAGUGGUGGGACUAAAUCAUCCUUAAUUAAUUUGAGUCUUCUGGGUAUGAAAAAAUCUUAUUGGGAGCGUCACCCUAGAAUGGGAACUGCAAUGCACGAUUUGGAUUAGUCAGCGCUACAAUGCAAAUAUCGGACACCAGAUGAAAAAAAAAAAGGUUCCCCAAUAUCAAUUGAUUAUAUAUCAUGUAUCAUUUGAUCUAAGCUUCAUCUUUUUCAUUCUCCUCUUAUUGUAUUUGUUAUGAUAGAUUUUUUUUUUUUUUUCACUUUGUAGUUGAAUGGUUUUUGUCCAAG
rnacentral:lncRNA from 1 species